rnacentral:rRNA from 1 species
AUUGAACGCUGGCGGCAUGCCUUACACAUGCAAGUCGAACGGCAGGCACGGGUGCUUGCACCUGGUGGCGAGUGGCGAACGGGUGAGUAAUACAUCGGAACGUACCUUAUCGUGGGGGAUAACGCAGCGAAAGCUGUGCUAAUACCGCAUACGCCCUGAGGGGGAAAGCGGGGGAUCGAAAGACCUCGCGCGAUUAGAGCGGCCGAUGCCUGAUUAGCUUGUUGGUGGGGUAAAAGCCCACCAAGGCGACGAUCAGUAGCUGGUCUGAGAGGACGAUCAGCCACACUGGGACUGAGACACGGCCCAGACUCCUACGGGAGGCAGCAGUGGGGAAUUUUGGACAAUGGGGGAAACCCUGAUCCAGCAAUGCCGCGUGAGUGAAGAAGGCCUUCGGGUUGUAAAGCUCUUUUGUCAGGGAAGAAACACCGGCUCUAACACAGUCCGGGAAUGACGGUACCUGAAGAAUAAGCACCGGCUAACUACGUG